ACCCUUAUAACAUUUAGAACUCAAACUUACCAGAUCCUCCUCUAAAGUUACUUCCUGGUCCUGGUCCAAAAUUUCCACCACCACCACGAGAAUCUCCAAAACCAAAGUUACCUCCUCUUCCACUUCUAGAACUUUGGACUUCCUGCAUUUCUUGUCUAGACA